GCCGCGUGAGGGAUGACGGCCUUCGGGUUGUAAACCUCUUUCAGCAGGGAAGAAGCGAAAGUGACGGUACCUGCAGAAGAAGCACCGGCUAACUACGUGCCAGCAGCCGCGGUAAUACGUAGGGUGCGAGCGUUGUCCGGAAUUAUUGGGCGUAAAGAGCUUGUAGGCGGUUUGUCGCGUCUGCUGUGAAAAUCCGGGGCUCAACCCCGGACUUGCAGUGGGUACGGGCAGACUAGAGUGUGGUAGGGGAGACUGGAAUUCCUGGUGUAGCGGUGAAAUGCGCAGAUAUCAGGAGGAACACCGAUGGCGAAGGCAGGUCUCUGGGCCACUACUGACGCUGAGAAGCGAAAGCAUGGGGAGCGAACAGGAUUAGAUACCCUGGUAGUCCAUGCCGUAAACGUUGGGCGCUAGGUGUGGGACUCAUUCCACGAGUUCCGUGCCGCAGCUAACGCAUUAAGCGCCCCGCCUGGGGAGUACGGCCGCAAGGCUAAAACUCAAAGGAAUUGACGGGGGCCCGCACAAGCGGCGGAGCAUGCGGAUUAAUUCGAUGCAACGCGAAGAACCUUACCAAGGCUUGACAUAUACCGGAAACUUCCAGAGAUGGUUGCCCCCUUUGGGUCGGUAUACAGGUGGUGCAUGGUUGUCGUCAGCUCGUGUCGUGAGAUGUUGGGUUAAGUCCCGCAACGAGCGCAACCCUCGUUCUAUGUUGCCAGCACGUCAUGGUGGGGACUCAUGGAAGACUGCCGGGGUCAACUCGGAGGAAGGUGGGG
rnacentral:rRNA from 1 species